rnacentral:rRNA from 1 species
UACGGAGGAUCCAAGCGUUAUCCGGAAUCAUUGGGUUUAAAGGGUCCGUAGGCGGUUUUAUAAGUCAGUGGUGAAAUCCGGCAGCUUAACUGUCGAACUGCCAUUGAUACUGUAGAACUUGAAUUAUUGUGAAGUAACUAGAAUAUGUAGUGUAGCGGUGAAAUGCUUUAGAUAUUUACAUGGAAUACCCAUUGCGAAGGCAGGUUUACUAACAAUAUAUUGACGCUGAUGGACGAAGCGUGGAGCGAAACAGG